GUGUGUGUUGUAAGAUACACCGUUUCAAGUUCUAGAAUCACCUUUUUGUUCUUUUUAAUCGCAUCCCAUUUUGCUCCAUUCACAUCGAAUCUUCAAUAGAUUGAAUGCUACUUUUCGAAGGAAACAACUACUUUUUCUUUGUUUUGUAUCCAUUUUUGUCUUGAAACAAAACGUGCAUCAUUUUUCCGAGAUGGCUUUGAAGUUGAUUUACAAGGCAUCUCCGUUAUGUUCUUAAAGCUCAAAUAUUUUUCCUUAAUUUUCACUGUUGCAAUUGCGUUUCUGUUCAAGAUCUCAAAUUUAGUUCCUGAAGUUGAAAUUACGUCACAUCUGUCUCUUUGAA